CAAACCAAAACCCAAAGUCCACAAAUAAACCCAAAACCCAAAGUCCACAAAUAAACCCAAAACCCAAAGUCCACAAACAAAACCCCAAAACCCAAAACAACCAAAUCCAACCGACCGUAAAGUCAUCAAACUAAACAACCCACAUUCAAACGACCGAAAAGUCGUUAAACUAAACCCAAAUUUCAAAUGAUCAAAACGUCGCUAAACUAAACCCAAAUUUCAAACGACCGAAAAGUCGUUAAACUAAGCCCAAAUUUCAUACGACCGAAAAGUUGUUAAACUAAACCCAAAUUUUAAACGACCGAAACGUCGCUAAACUAAACUCAAAUCCAAACGACCGAAAAGUCGUUAAACUAAACCCAAAUUCCUUAAACCAUGAACCAAAUCCAUAUACCAAACCCAUGAGCCAUAUCCAAGUUCAUGAACCAAAUCCAUACACCAAACCCAUGAGCCAUAUCCAAGUUCAUGAACCAAAUCCAUACACCAAACCCAUGAACCAUAUCCAAGUUCAUGAACCAAAUCCAUACACCAAAUCCAUGAACCAUAUCCAAGUUCAUGAACCGAGUCCAUACACCAAAUUCAUGAACCAUAUCCAAAUUCAUGAACCAAAUCUCAUGAGCCAAUACUCAAAUCUCAUGAGCCAAUACCCAAAUCUCAUCGUGAACCUUUUUUUUACUCUGGCACAUAUACCUAGAGUAAAAAUUAAAUAUCAACUACCCCUAAUACAUAUACUUAGGGCUAAGUCAAUCGCCUUAGCACAUAUAACUAAGGCAAAACAUCUCCAAAUCGACAGAGUUCUAAGUCAUAUACUUAGAAUUCAGUCAAAUGAUAUCAAGUUUAUUCGAACUCUAACAUAUAUACUUAGAGUUCAUCUGACUAACCCUAACACAUAUACUUAGGGUCUAGUCAGCCUUUUGCUCUAGCACAUAUACCUAGAGUGGAAGUCAAACCAUGGUCGACUAACCCAAACCCAUAUACUUAGGGUCUAGUCAGUCUUUUGCUCUAGCACAUAUACCUAGAGUGGAAGUCAAACCAUGGUCGACUAACCCUAACCCAUAUGCUUAGGGUCUAGUCAGUCUUUUGCUCUAGCACAUAUACCUAGAGUGAAAGUCAAACCAUGCUCGACCAACCCUAACACAUAUACUUUAGGGUCUAGUCAAUCUUUUGCUCUAGCACAUAUACCUAGAAUGGAAGUAAAAUCAUGGUCGACUAACCCUAACCUAUAUACUUAGGGUCCAGUCAGUCUUUUGCUCUAGCACAUAUAUCUAGAGUGAAAGUCAAACCAUGCUCGACUAACCCUGACACAUAUACUUAGGGUCUAGUCAGUCUUUUGCUCUAGCACAUAUACCUAGAGUGGAAGUCAAACCAUG
rnacentral:lncRNA from 1 species